AGGUCGUAACAAGGUCUCCGUUGGUGAACCAGCGGAGGGAUCAUUACCGAGUUUACAACUCCCAAACCCCUGUGAACAUACCAAUUGUUGCCUCGGCGGAUCAGCCCGCUCCCGGUAAAACGGGACGGCCCGCCAGAGGACCCCCUAAACUCUGUUUCUAUAUGUAACUUCUGAGUAAAACCAUAAAUAAAUCAAAA
rnacentral:misc_RNA from 1 species